UACGGAGGGGGCUAGCGUUGUUCGGAAUUACUGGGCGUAAAGCACACGUAGGCGGCUUUGCAAGUUAGAGGUGAAAGCCCAGGGCUUAACCCUGGAAUUGCCUUUAAAACUGCAUCGCUAGAAUUGUGGAGAGGUAAGUGGAAUUCCGAGUGUAGAGGUGAAAUUCGUAGAUAUUCGGAAGAACACCAGUGGCGAAGGCGACUUACUGGACACAUAUUGACGCUGAGGUGCGAAAGCGUGGGGAGCAAACAGG
rnacentral:rRNA from 1 species